UACGAAGGGGGCUAGCGUUGUUCGGAAUUACUGGGCGUAGAGCGCACGUAGGCGGAUCGUUAAGUCGGGGGUGAAAUCCUGGAGCUCAACUCCAGAACUGCCUUCGAUACUGGCGAUCUAGAGUCCGGAAGAGGUGAGUGGAACUCCUAGUGUAGAGGUGGAAUUCGUAGAUAUUAGGAAGAACACCAGUGGCGAAGGCGGCUCACUGGUCCGGUACUGACGCUGAGGUGCGAAAGCGUGGGGAGCAAACAGG
rnacentral:rRNA from 1 species